rnacentral:sRNA from 1 species
GUCAGAGCACCAUAACAUGGUGUGGGAAGUGAAGACAAAUCAGAUGCCUAAUGCAGUACAGAAACUCCUGUUGGUGAUGGACAAGAGAGCCUCAGGAAUGAAUGACUCAUUGGAGUUGCUGCAGUGUAAUGAGAAUUUGCCAUCUUCACCUGGAUAUAACUCCUGUGAUGAACACAUGGAGCUUGAUGACCUUCCUGAACUUCAGGCAGUUCAAAGUGAUCCUACCCAAUCUGGCAUGUACCAGCUGAGUUCAGAUGUUUCACAUCAAGAAUACCCAAGAUCAUCUUGGAACCAAAAUACCUCAGACAUACCAGAAACUACUUACCGUGAAAAUGAGGUGGACUGGCUAACAGAAUUGGCAAAUAUCGCGACCAGUCCACAAAGUCCACUGAUGCAGUGCUCAUUUUACAAUAGAUCAUCUCCUGUACACAUCAUAGCCACUAGCAAAAGUUUACAUUCCUAUGCACGCCCUCCACCAGUGUCCUCUUCUUCGAAGAGUGAACCAGCCUUCCCUCAUCACCAUUGGAAGGAGGAAACACCAGUAAGACAUGAAAGGGCAAAUAGUGAGUCAGAAUCUGGCAUUUUCUGCAUGUCCUCCCUGUCAGAUGAUGAUGAUUUGGGAUGGUGCAAUUCCUGGCCUUCAACUGUCUGGCACUGUUUUUUGAAAGGCACACGACUGUGCUUUCAUAAGGGAAGCAAUAAGGAAUGGCAAGAUGUUGAAGAUUUUGCUAGAGCUGAAGGCUGUGAUAAUGAGGAAGAUCUUCAAAUGGGCAUUCACAAGGGCUAUGGUUCUGAUGGUCUAAAGUUGUUAUCACAUGAAGAAAGUGUAUCAUUUGGCGAGUCUGUACUGAAGUUGACUUUUGAUCCUGGUACAGUAGAAGAUGGUUUACUUACCGUAGAGUGUAAGCUGGACCACCCUUUCUAUGUUAAAAAUAAAGGUUGGUCAUCAUUUUAUCCAAGCUUGACUGUGGUACAGCAUGGCAUUCCAUGUUGUGAAGUUCAUAUUGGCGAUGUAUGUCUACCUCCUGGACACCCCGAUGCCAUUAAUUUUGAUGAUUCAGGUGUUUUUGAUACAUUUAAAAGCUAUGACUUCACACCUAUGGAUUCUUCUGCAGUUUAUGUGUUAAGUAGUAUGGCUCGCCAGCGUCGUGCAUCUUUGUCUUGUGGAGGACCUGGUGGUCAAGACUUUGCAAGAUCUGGAUUCAGUAAAAACUGUGGCUCACCUGGAUCAUCACAGCUCUCUUCCAAUUCUUUGUAUGCUAAAGCUGUCAAAAACCACAGCUCAGGGACUGUGAGUGCCACUUCUCCUAAUAAGUGCAAAAGACCAAUGAAUGCCUUCAUGCUUUUUGCCAAAAAAUACAGAGUUGAAUAUACUCAGAUGUAUCCAGGGAAAGAUAACAGAGCCAUAAGUGUGAUCCUUGGUGACAGGUGGAAGAAAAUGAAGAAUGAAGAGAGAAGAAUGUACACAUUAGAAGCAAAGGCUUUGGCUGAAGAACAGAAACGUUUAAAUCCUGACUGUUGGAAGAGGAAAAGAACCAAUUCAGUAUGUUUCAAUAAAUAGUGUUUAAAAUUAUCUUGCCUUAUCCGUGCAGGUGUACUGGCAUGUUGGAGCAGUUGUUACAACCUUUAAGAGGUUGUGUUGAUGCUGUCUCUAGCAUUUUUAUACUUCAAAACCUAAUAAUGUUAUCACAUCAUCAUAUAAAGACUGCCUUUCCUCAAGUGUCAUUUACUCUCUUAGCAUGGCAAGUCGAAAUCUCAGGCAAACUUCAAAAGAAUGUUUGUUCUAAACAUUGAGUUGGAAAAAUAAUUUUGGAAUGCAGUGUUUCUAGUUGGGUUGAAAGAUAAGCAUUAUUAAUCCAUUAAUAUCACAGUAGAAAAUUUCUCUAAUAAUUUUUGGAUUGUCUCAACAGCUUUUUUUCCUUAAUUGGUGAGGGACCAAUAAGGCUGGAGGUGUGGGGGUAUGUUAGCUGUCAUUCAUGGGGACUUGUGCCAUUGGCACAGAAUUUCUAGAUUGAAAAAUUUCAAGGAGGAGAAGAAAUAGGCCCAGGAAUGGUGGCAAACAAGUCUGUAUGAUAAGCUAUCUUGGAUAGACUUGUUUCUUAUAACUUUUCCAUUACUAAACUAGCAUCUUUUAGGUUCAGCGUUUUUAGAUUAAUUGCAAAAAAAUUACAUGUGAUAUAGUGGGGUCAAUUUGAAGUAUCAUUAAAAAUGAAGGGAAGAUAUCAAUAUUUUUAUAGUAGGAGGGCUGGCCAAAGAUGUUUUAAAUUCAUUGUGUACAUGUGCCUUUUUCUUAGUAAAAUGCAGGUCACAUCUGUUUAAAUUUUUCACAAUUUCUUUAAAAAUAGUGGUCAGUCAGUAGUCAGAUGAGAGGGUGGCUGAACUGAGUUUUGGCAGUUCUUGGUUAAUUUAGAAUUUCAUGUGUUCGGACUUUUCCUGUAUCCCUUUUCUGUUCAUCCUAGUCAAUGUCUUAUCAUUGCAUACAUUUUCUGGAUGCUUGAGCCAUCAGAUAUCAGCUAGCUUUUUAAAAUCACCUUUAAGAAAGCAGUAUUUUCUAAUAGUAAAUUUAUAAACAUCUUAUACAUCUUAGCUUUCAUAUAUAGGAUUACUAUGCAUUGAUUUGUAAACAUUCACUGAGUUUAAUUUUA